UGGGGAAUUUUGGACAAUGGGCGAAAGCCUGAUCCAGCAAUGCCGCGUGUGUGAAGAAGGCCUUCGGGUUGUAAAGCACUUUUGUCCGGAAAGAAAUCCUCUGGGUUAAUACCUCGGGGGGAUGACGGUACCGGAAGAAUAAGCACCGGCUAACUACGUGCCAGCAGCCGCGGUAAUACGUAGGGUGCAAGCGUUAAUCGGAAUUACUGGGCGUAAAGCGUGCGCAGGCGGUUUUGUAAGACGGAUGUGAAAUCCCCGGGCUUAACCUGGGAACUGCAUUCGUGACUGCAAGGCUAGAGUAUGGCAGAGGGGGGUAGAAUUCCACGUGUAGCAGUGAAAUGCGUAGAGAUGUGGAGGAAUACCGAUGGCGAAGGCAGCCCCCUGGGCCAAUACUGACGCUCAUGCACGAAAGCGUGGGGAGCAAACAGGAUUAGAUACCCUGGUAGUCCACGCCCUAAAACGAUGUCAACUAGUUGUUGGGGAUUCAUUUCCUUAGUAACGUAGCUAACGCGUGAAGUUGGCCGCCUGGGGAGUACGGUCGCAAGAUUAAAAACUCAAAGGAAUUGACGGGGUCAUAGCUGUUUCC
rnacentral:rRNA from 1 species